rnacentral:rRNA from 1 species
GUCCUACGGGAGGCAGCAGUGGGGAAUAUUGCACAAUGGGGGAAACCCUGAUGCAGCGACGCCGCGUGAGCGAUGAAGUAUUUCGGUAUGUAAAGCUCUAUCAGCAGGGAAGAAAAUGACGGUACCUGACUAAGAAGCCCCGGCUAACUACGUGCCAGCAGCCGCGGUAAUACGUAGGGGGCAAGCGUUAUCCGGAUUUACUGGGUGUAAAGGGAGCGUAGACGGCAUGGCAAGUCCGGAGUGAAAGCCCGGGGCUCAACCCUGGGACUGCUCUGGAAACUGUAAAGCUGGAGUGCGGGAGGGGG